ensembl:lncRNA
UAGGAAUAUAGAGUGAGUAGAGUAGUUGACACCGCACUACAAUUCCCAUUAUGCACAACGACUUCCCCGGAAAUACAGGCAUGGGUCAAAGUUAAAAAGCUUACCGUGCACGAUGUGAAGAACCAAAGCGUGCAAACUGAUGUGGCCACGUUUAUUCAGUUCGUUAUACUUUCUGUUAUUUAGUUGUUGUGUUUGUGUUAACGUCGGAAUAUGUCUCCAAAGAAGAAGCAUGGGUCAAGUCAUCAAUUGAUCCAUUUGAUCUAUCGACAUUUGAAGGAAAACGGCUUCCAGAAAGCUGCAGAAGAACUCAAAAAGCAUGUGAAGGGCGGAGAACCAGAAGCCUUGUCAACUUCACUACUGGACAUCUACAAUAAAUGGUUUGGAGAUGCUUCCAAGAGUACAAAGACUGGAACAGAACCGGAUUCUUCUGAGUUAAAAAAGAACCGUCAAGCAGACCCUGAAAGCAGCACAGAGAGCUCGAGUUCAGCAGAGGAAGAAACAACACCUGUUAAAGCCUCCCAGACCCCAAAGCCUCAGAGCUCAGCUAAGGCCAGCCCAACUAAGGCCAAGACUGCAGUGCAGACGACUCUUGGAGGGAAGGGGACAGUAGUGGAGGAGAUCUCUGGGACAGACAGCUCAGAGGACUCUGAGAGUGAGGAGACACCGCCACAAGAUAGCCCUGCUACGCCCAAAGCCAAUCAUGUUCCAGCUGCAAAGAUCAAGGCCGUGUCAGAGGUCACACCAUCGACCCCAACCAAGGCCAAGUUAACAACCACUUCCACGACUAAAUCUGGGGCCUCCAGCAAUACCACUGAUACGUCGUCAGACAGGAAAGAGGCAACAACAGUGAAAACACCCUUGACGCCAGCACCAGUGACGCCAACCAGUAAACCAACAUCAACAGCCAAGACGAAAGCUACUCCAACUAAAGCAGUGGUUGUUGCUACUCCAAGCAAGGCCACGGCAACAACAACAGCCACACCUGCAUCUACAGCAUCCGACUCCUCCAGUUGCAGCAUGGAAUCGUCAGAUAGCGAUGAGGAGAGUCCCGCUGUGAAAACACCCACAACACCAAGAGCAACACCUGCAAAACCGGUAACACCAAUUAGUAAAACAACAUCAACGGCCAAGCCAACAACCAAGUCGAAGACUACAGCGCCAGAGGCUUCCAGUGACAGCUGUGAUUCAUCAUCAGAAAGUGAAGAGGAAGGUCCAACAGUGAAAACACAGACAGCGCCAGUGAAGCAACAGACAGCAACACCAACAGCCAAGAUGAAAGCCACCCCAGUUAAACCAGUGGUUGCUGCUACCCCAAAUAAGACCUCGGCUAGUAAGGAGUCCAGUGAUAGCAUUGAUUUGUCAUCAGACAGCAACGGGGAGAGUCCAGCAACAACAACAGCUGCCACUCCGAAAGCUACACCAGUGGUGCAACAGAAAGUAACAUCAACAGCCAAGACGAAAGCUACUCCAACUAAAGCAGUGGUUGUUGCUACUCCAAGCAAGGCCACGGCAACAACAACUGCCACACCUGCAUCUACAGCAUCCGACUCAUCCAGUUGCAGUAGUGAAUCGUCAGAUAGCGAUGAGGAGAGUCCCGCUGUGAAAACACCCACAACACCAAGAGCAACACCUGCAAAACCGGUAACACCAAUUAGUAAAACAACAUCAACGGCCAAGCCAACAACCAAGUCGAAGACUACAGCGCCAGAGGCUUCCAGUGACAGCUGUGAUUCAUCAUCGGAAAGUGAAGAGGAAGGUCCAACGGUGAAAACACAGACAUCAACAGCCAAGACGAAAGCCCCUCCGGGUACCUCAGUUAAACCAGUGGUCGCUGCCACUCCAAGCAAGACCCCAGCUAGUAAGGAGUCCAGUGACAGCAUUGAUUUGUCAUCAGACAGCGAAGAGGACAGUCCAGCAACGGAAGCAGCCACAACACCGGCAAAACCUGCUAAUAAUGCUACCCCGGCUAGAGCAGCGACUGUUGCCCCUCCAUGCAAGGCUACGGCAACAGCCACUGUCACAGCCGAGACUACAACAGCAGAGUCAUCUAGUGACAGCAGUGAUUCGUCAGACAGUGAAGAGCAGGUUCCAUCGGUGACAACAGCCGCAACACCGACAGCUACAACGGGGAAGCAAACAAAACCAACAUCAACAGCCAGGAGGAAAGCCCCUCCGGCUACCCCACUUAAACCAGUGGUUGCUGCCACUCUAAGUAAAACCCCAGCUAGUAAGGGGUCCAGUGACCGCAUUGAUUUGUCAUCGGACAGUGAAGAAGAGGGUCCGGCACCGAAAACAGCCGUGACAACAGCCCCUCCUGCCAACCCAGCUAAAGCAGCGACUGUUGCCACUCCAAGCAAGCCUAAGGCAACAGCCACUGUCACCGCCAAGACUACAAAACCAGGGUCAUCUAGUGACAGCAGUGUUUCAGCAACAACAACAGCGGCAAGACCGAAAGAUACACCAGUGAAGCAAUCAAAACCAACAUCAACAGCAAGGACGAAAGCCCUUCCGAGUACCCCAGUUAAACCAAUGGUCGCUGCCACUCCAAGCAAGACCCCAGCUAGUAAGGGGUCCAGUGAUAGCGGUGAUUCGUCAUCAGACAGCGAAGAGGACAGUCCAGCAACGAUAACAACGUCAAAACCACAAACUACACCAGUGACGCCAGCGAAACUGAAAGCAACAUCAAAAGCCAAGACGAAAGCCACUCCAGCUAAGCCCGUGGUUGCUGCUACCCCAAGCAAGGCCCAGGCAACACCCACUGUCACACCUACAAGUACAGCACCAGAGUCGUCCAAUGACAGCGAUGACUCACCAUCAGACAUCCCAGAUGAAGCCCCAGCAAAGCAUGCUGAGGUUCAACUUAAGACCCCUGCUUCAGCUAAGAAGGCCCAGGGUGGGGGAAUGGGAAAUAAAUCUGCUUCUAAGGACCUGCUCCUACUGCUGAACAGUCUUACUUCACCCACAGCGAAAGCCAUUGAGAAGAAGAGUGUCCGUCGUGGAGACUCCUCCGUUGAGGAAACUCCAGCUGUUACAGCAACACCUGCUGUUGCUCCAGCCACAAAUAAAGGAAAGGCGGUGGCUGCAAAAGACAAGAAAGCAACCUCAUCGAAGAAAGCACAAGCCUCGGCUCCAUCAGCCAAGAGGAAAAGAGGUGAAGACAAACCAGGGGACACACCCGUGAAAGGCAAAAAGAAGAAGCCCUCGCCUGAGACUGUCAUGGCUGCCCUGCCUCUGACCGUUCUUGGUCCUCCUCCUACAGGGGGAGACGACUCUGGCUCGGACUCUGACUCCGAUCUGGACGUGGAGAAGUGGAAGAGACUGGCACUGGAACUAUCAGACACAAACAUCGCCAAAAUGGACGCCAUCACUGCGCUGAACGCCUCACCUGCUCCUGCCUCAGCAGCGAAGAAAACAAGAGCGCCGACGAAGCCCAGGGCUAAAGCUGCAUCGAAGACACCUAAACCCAAGGCUGGCGCUGCAGUGGAAAAGUCUAGUGCUGCUGAAAAAGUCAAGACUACAGCUGAAAAGGAAGAUGGGAAUGGGAAGACCAAGACAUCUGCAAAAGCCACUAAAGCCAAGUCCAGUCAGGCUAAGAAGGCAGCACCUCCCACCCCAUCAGUCAAAGACAAACAGCCACCCACCAUGCCUGCUACCCCAACACCUAAUGGAGAACCGUCAGCCAGGAAAAGGAAGAGGAAUAGGAAAAAUAGGAACAAUGAGACUAAAGCAGAUGACAAUUCACCACAACCUCAAAAGAAGAAAAGGGAAACCGGCGAAGAGAAGACGGAUGAAAAGAAAAAUGAGACUGUAGAAGAGAAGGAACCAGGGAAGGAAAAGAAGAGGACGACUAAGGAGAAUGGUGCAAAAAAGGAGAAGGGAGCGAAGAAGAAACAGGAGGAGAUAAGAAAGGAGAAUGAGACUAAGAUGGAACUGGAAAAGGAUAAGAAGAAGAAAACGAAUGAGAACUGUGUUGACAAGGAACCACCACCUCCAUCCACCACAGUAACACCUGAUUCUCCAACAGAGAAGAAAAAGAUUAAAAAGCUGAAACUCUCAAAGACUGCAGUGUCUGAGAUGCCAGCCACACCUGCCCAAGACUCCAUCCCUGUACAGCACCCUCCAGCACCCACAGAGACCCCACCUAAAAAGAAAAAGAAAUCAUCUAAGAGUAAGUAAGGCCUUUAGAGAUGAAGACCAUCUAAAAGGGGCCUCUCAAGUGUAUGUGGACCUGGACCCAUUCUACCUAAAUGGCAGUGCAGCAACAACUGGUAAAGACUGUCUGUCCACAGAAUGGUCUCCCUGGACCAGAUCUAUUUUUUAUUACAUUGUAUACUGUAACAAAUGAACUCUUUUCCCGUUUUGCUAAAGUGGAAACAGUGUUUUUUUAGCCUAUUUGUUUAUCUAUUUUUUAAAACUGUAACUGCAUGUCCUGUACAGGUUCUAACUGUUUUCCUAUUUGAAGAUGGCAUACUAUGUGAUGUGCCGCAGCUGUUUUUAUGUUACUGUAACAUUUUAAUUAUGGUGUUUUCUUGCAUGUCCUUGUGACAGCGGAAAAAAACAGAAUGAUUUACGGAAAUGUUACGUUUACGACAGCUUUUGCUGCUUUGCCUCACAUGGUGUUUAAGGCCGAUCCUAAGUGGAGGGAAUGAUCAGAGGAACCUCAAUACAGUAAUGAAGCCCAGAGCCAUUGUUUAACCCUUACACCCUAGUAAUGAAUGCAUAAUAUGGAAAUAUUUGAGAUACUACUAGGAAAAUAGAUUUUUUAUUUUUUUUUAAGUUUCAUGGUCAGAUGUGUUUACUGUAUCUUUUUCACAAAAUUAAGUCAUUUUUCCACAGUUUGUGUUUGUGUCCAUUUUGUUAGUGGGUUUGAGGUGCCAAAAACUUGUCUUCAAGCACUUUCUCUUUCUGGUCUUGGGAGUCUUCUUCAGCACUUUGAUGAAUUUCUUUCCAGAGGGGACUUUGUGGCAUUUAUAGCUAUGGUAAUUAAUGGCACUGCCAAGGUGGAGAGAAGCCUAGGAAAAUAUAAAUCAUUGUGAUUGCGGCAUAACGGUUCCUGGGGCUGAAAGAUUUCUCAGCGAAGGAGUUACCUGCAAUAGUGGCACACGCUCUCAGGGCCUACCCAGCUAACAAUGAUCUGUCGUUCCGCCAGUGUUUUAUUUGGGUGGCACGCCAUCAGCGGCUUGCCGCGGUCGAGCCUCUGGCGGCAGACCAUCUACAAGA